UAGCUCAGACGGUAAAGCAUCUGCCUACAAUGCAGGAGACCCAGGUUCAAUCCCUGG
rnacentral:tRNA from 1 species